rnacentral:lncRNA from 1 species
CCCAGCCCCGUGAUCCUAAACCCCAGAUCUAUGAUCCUAGACCCCAAUUCCCUGACCCGAGACCCAUGAUCCCAGACCCCAAACCUAUGAUCCUAGACCCAGAUCCUGGACCCCAGACCCAGGUCCCAGACCCAUGAUCCCAAAUCCCAAACCCCAGUUCCUACAGCCAGGUCCUAGACCCCAUACCCAGCUCCCAGACCCCAGACCCAUGAUCCCAGACCCUAGACCCAUGAUCCUAGACCCCAGACCCCAAAUCCCAGACCCAGGUCCUACACCCCAGACCUAUGAUCCUAAACCCAGCUCCUAGACCCCAGUCCCAUAUCCUAGACCCACUUCCCAGACCCCAAAUCCAGAUCCUAGACCCCAAAACAAAGACUCCCAGAGCCACGAUCCUAGACCCUAAACCCCAAACCCAGAUCCCAGACCCCAGUUCCCAGACCCCAAACCUUAAACCCAGGUCCUACACCCCAAAUCCCAGACCCAGGUCCUAGACUCCAGACCUAUGAUCCCAAACCCAGUCCCCAAACCUCAGACCCAGCUCCUACACUCCAGACCCAUGAUCCUAGUCCUCAGACCAAGACCCAUGAUCCCAGACCCAGCUUCUAGACCCCAAAACCAAUUCCCAGACCCCAAAACCAGUUCCUAGAGCCAUGACCCUAGACCCCAAACCCCAGACCCAGGUCCUACACCCCAGACCUAUGAUCCUAAACCCAGCUCCUAGAACCAGUUCCCAGACCUCCAGAGCCACAAACCUAGACCCCAAACCCCAAACCCAGAUCUUAGACCCCAGUUCCCAGACCCCAAACCUUAAACCCAGGUCCUACACCCCAAACCCCAGACCCCAGACCCAGCUCCUAGAACCAGUUCCCAGACCUCCAGAGCCACAAACCUAGACCCCAAACCCCAAACCCAGAUCUUAGACCCCAGUUCCCAGACCCCAAACCUUAAACCCAGGUCCUACACCCCAAACCCCAGACCCCAGACCCAGGUCCUACACCCCAGACCCAUGACCCUAACCCCAGCCCCCAACCCCCAAACCCACACCCCCACCCCACGAUCCUAGACCCUAAACCCCAGACCCCAAACCCCAACCCCAGCCCCCAGUUCCCAGCCCCCAAACCUUAAACCCAGCUCCUACACCCCAGCCCCACGAUCCUAGACCCCAGACCCAACUCCCAGACCCCAAACCCAGCCCCUAAACCCCAGGCCCAGGCCCCAGACCCCACA